rnacentral:piRNA from 1 species
GAGUAGUGUAAUUGCCACAAAUCUGUGCUA